rnacentral:rRNA from 1 species
AAUGAACGCUGGCGGCAGGCCUAAUACAUGCAAGUCGAGCGAACACACAGUGAGCGUUCGCCUCUACCGUUGGCGACUGACGGGUGAGUAACACAUGCAUAACCUACCUAUAUUACUUGGGGAACUUCGGGAAACCAGAUCUACUACCGGAUAAUAUAUUCAACGGCAGGAUGCAAUAGUUAUACGCAGCUUUCCUGACACUUUGAGAUGAUUCCGCGCCGCAUUAGCUAGUUGGUAAGGUAACGGCUUACCAAGGCAACGAUGCGUAGCUGACCUGAGAGGGUGAUCGGCCACACUGGAACUGAGACACGGUCCAGACUCCUACGGGAGGCAGCAGUAGGGAAUAUUCCGCAAUGGGCGCAAGCCUGACGCAGCAAUGCCGCGUGAGUGAUGAAGGCCUUCGGAUUGUAAAACUCUGUUAUUAGGAAAGAAAAACAGCGUAAGAAAAUCCGGCCGUUUUGACGGUACCUAAUGAGAAAGCACCGGCUAACUUCGUG